rnacentral:lncRNA from 1 species
AUACUUUAAUAUGACUAGAUGAUGUGCUCCACUUCAUAUUAUUUUUAUUAUAUUGCAUGCGGUGCAUAAAGGCUUUUUCGUAUGCCAUAAAGCCAAUUGUUUGAGUUGUUUAAAGGCCGGCGGUUUUCAAACAAUUUCAGGUGACCUGGUUGUGAUGGACUUUUUCAAAAAUCCAUAUAGGAUCUGGUUGAAAUUUAGACCUAAGUGUAGGAUAAGUUGGUCCGAUCCUUUCUACUUAAGUCCUAACCAGACCUUUCCAGUUCUAAAUCUUGUAAUGUUAUUUUGCGUCAAAAACAUUGGGAG